rnacentral:rRNA from 1 species
GGCUGAGGCGUGAUGACGAGGCACUACGGUGCUGAAGCAACAAAUGCCCUGCUUCCAGGAAAAGCCUCUAAGCAUCAGGUAACAUCAAAUCGUACCCCAAACCGACACAGGUGGUCAGGUAGAGAAUACCAAGGCGCUUGAGAGAACUCGGGUGAAGGAACUAGGCAAAAUGGUGCCGUAACUUCGGGAGAAGGCACGCUGAUAUGUAGGUGAAGCGACUUGCUCGUGGAGCUGAAAUCAGUCGAAGAUACCAGCUGGCUGCAACUGUUUAUUAAAAACACAGCACUGUGCAAACACGAAAGUGGACGUAUACGGUGUGACGCCUGCCCGGUGCCGGAAGGUUAAUUGAUGGGGUUAGCGGUAACGCGAAGCUCUUGAUCGAAGCCCCGGUAAACGGCGGCCGUAACUAUAACGGUCCUAAGGUAGCGAAAUUCCUUGUCGGGUAAGUUCCGACCUGCACGAAUGGCGUAAUGAUGGCCAGGCUGUCUCCACCCGAGACUCAGUGAAAUUGAACUCGCUGUGAAGAUGCAGUGUACCCGCGGCAAGACGGAAAGACCCCGUGAACCUUUACUAUAGCUUGACACUGAACAUUGAGCCUUGAUGUGUAGGAUAGGUGGGAGGCUUUGAAGUGUGGACGCCAGUCUGCAUGGAGCCGACCUUGAAAUACCACCCUUUAAUGUUUGAUGUUCUAACGUUGGCCCGUUAUCCGGGUUGCGGACAGUGUCUGGUGGGUAGUUUGACUGGGGCGGUCUCCUCCUAAAGAGUAACGGAGGAGCACGAAGGUUGGCUAAUCCUGGUCGGACAUCAGGAGGUUAGUGCAAUGGCAUAAGCCAGCUUGACUGCGAGCGUGACGGCGCGAGCAGGUGCGAAAGCAGGUCAUAGUGAUCCGGUGGUUCUGAAUGGAAGGGCCAUCGCUCAACGGAUAAAAGGUACUCCGGGGAUAACAGGCUGAUACCGCCCAAGAGUUCAUAUCGACGGCGGUGUUUGGCACCUCGAUGUCGGCUCAUCACAUCCUGGGGCUGAAGUAGGUCCCAAGGGUAUGGCUGUUCGCCAUUUAAAGUGGUACGCGAGCUGGGUUUAGAACGUCGUGAGACAGUUCGGUCCCUAUCUGCCGUGGGCGCUGGAGAACUGAGGGGGGCUGCUCCUAGUACGAGAGGACCGGAGUGGACGCAUCACUGGUGUUCGGGUUGUCAUGCCAAUGGCACUGCCCGGUAGCUAAAUGCGGAAGAGAUAAGUGCUGAAAGCAUCUAAGCACGAAACUUGCCCCG